rnacentral:lncRNA from 1 species
GGGACGGCAAGACGCUCAACACGGUGGUGUUCGCCAGGUUCGUCUUGUUCUUGGAUUUUCGCUUGCUUCUUUGUUUCUUCUUUCUGACCGAGCAGGUGAGCUGAUUUUGGAUUUGUCAUCCUAGUUUCUGCAGCUGUUGGAGGAGGACUUGGUGGUGCUAAGGAAUGGAGUACUACAAGGACGGACGCCGCUUCCGUUGAACUCAGGUGAGCUUGCGAAUUCGCGAUGGCCUUGGUGAUUUUACUGUUACUGCUACUCUAUUAGUCAUGGAAUUCGGGAGAUCUUGGGUUCGAAUUUUAUUUUCUGGGAUUUUUAUCGGGGUGUAUGCAACUGUAUAACUGUAAAUUGGCUUGCCCCUGGGUGUUCUUGGUUGGUGAUUCGACAAUGAUUUGAAGCGGUCUGGCUUAUCAGCCGGUGGUUAGGUGGAGUCGGGUUAUUAUAGUUUCGGUAUAGGAGGGGGAAAGGUGGCACAAAUCUGGGGGCAGGGCAUGUUUCUGCCUGAUUGAUCCAAUCAUUUUUUUUCUUCUGGUAUCAAUCAAUCAUGCCAGCAUCUGAAACGGAUUAUCAAAUCUGAAUUGGCACUGUUUUUUAUAUAUAAUGAUACCAUACAGCUCGAGAUGAACAUAUGCUUGACUGAAUAGUUGUUCAUACAUCUGGAGGUGUUACUAUGAGUACAAUUACCAUUCAGAAAGAAAGAAACUAUGAGUAAAAUGCAGAGAACGCACUUCCAGACUAUCAAUCAUGCAUGCCCAUAUCAUUUGCUUUGCUUAAUGUUUCUUAGUUUAACUUACUAAUCUCUUGUCUGUGUAAUUUUUGCUGCCAGAAGGGAUCCAAAUAGGUUGCAACUGGGAGUAAAAUAUGUGUCUAAACUGAUUGUCUGGUGCGAAAAUCGACGACCAAGAUCCAGUUAUGUGUAUUGUAGGACAACACCUUUCAUUAGAUACACUUUGAUGCUAUUUCUAGCAUGAAUUUCUAUUUCAGACUUAGAACUAAAAUUCUGAACAACUAAAAUCGCUCUUGUUCCUUAUUUUUGUAGGGCGGUUCCUCUCGUUUUACUGGUUCGUCCGCUCCUUCAUGAUUGAUGUACUGGUUCUGGCCGCUCCUUCGUGAUAGACUCGGUUAACUCUUUGUUGGCCUUGUGGGUCGUAAUUGUUUCUCUCCAUAUGCAUAUACUUCCUGAUGUAUUGCUCAUGCUCAUUCUGUACCGAGAUAGACCUAAUAUCCGUAGGGUUGUAGAUUGAUUUCCCCUGAAAAAGCUAUGCUUCUUUCCUUGGAUGAUAAGCAUGUUCCGCAGCUAUGUGGAAUUCUUAAGAUAAACGGUCUUUAGUUUCUUUUGGUGCAUCUGCGUGCACAUAACAGUCUGUUAGUUUCUCAGUCUGUUAGUUUCUCUUUAUAUAAUGAAAAAAUAUAUGUUGUUGUCGCUUGUUUAUUAUUAUCUAUCAUUUGUAUAUUGAUUUUUAGGCCACCAGUACUUGUAUGUAUAAUUUCUAGUCUCUUGAAUGAAUAAUUUUUCUUUAUGUGCCAUGCGUCUUGUGUUACUACAUACAUCUGUCGUGAAGUACAUGGUUCUGGAACUAUGGUAACCCGUAGUUUGCUCUACCCGUGAUAGUAGGAUGAUGGAAGCAUCACUACUGAAUGUAGUUCAUGUUUCUUCAUAUAAUCAUCAUUUACUAGAGUUUCUCUUCUUCUUGCUACUACUUGGUUUUUGACGCCACUAGCUUGUACUGAAAUGUAAACACAUCAUAUUGUUCUCAUCAGACCAGUGUACCUUGAGCAUGCAAAGUAAACACAUGCUACUCCACUUGUCUAUUUUUACAUAAACUUUUGUUUAAAUAAACCGAGCUAAUAAACCAAACGGUGCAAACACAUUCAGUUCUGAAAUUUGUCUACUCCACUUGUUUGAUUGUACUGAAACCUUUGUUUGCAUGUUUCUAAAAUGCAGAGAAGAACACCCUGUGUUCUGGUAAAAUAUUUGUUUGCUAUGAUAUGAAAUUCCAUGAUGUGUGUGUUGUUUCAGUUUCUGUAGCUACAACAAAGUCCUAGUUUACUCUAUACUUGCUUUUGAUGAUUGCUGGCUAAAUUUACAGUUGAAAUAAUAGUAGCCAAGGAGUAGAUACAAGACGUAUUUACCAUAUUUUGCAUGGAAUGUUAAAAAUCAGUUUUGUUGUGGUUUCUUGUUCUGUGAGUCAAAUUGCAUAAGAUGGGAGUAUCACAACAUGCAUAUACUGAAGCUGGGAGUAUCACAACCUGAAUGUGCAGCUUAUGUAGUUUCUGUAUUUUUGUUAAAGCAUGGAGUAGCUUCUAUAGUUUCUGUAUUUUUGUUAAAGCAUGGAGUAGCUUCUAUAGUUUCUGUAUUUCUGUAUUUUCGUUAAAGCAUGGAGUAGCUUCUAUAGCUUCCUCACAAGUUAAUGCUUUGCUCGUCCGGGUGUGUGAUAAUGCCAUUUGUCUUGUGCAAUCAGAUUACAUUUCUGUUUGUUAUGGUAAUAUAAAAAAUAUUCGUGCUGUCAAAAUUUUCACAGUGCGUGUCUUUCAUUUCUUUAAUUUGAUUGUUUCCCUUGUAUUCAAUAUGCUUCUAGUGGCUGAUCCUUCCAUUUUUGUUGUGGCAUCUUUAUUUUCACAGGUGUUGUGUGUUCUGGAAGAUGGAAGAGGAAGAAAUUGUUGAACUAAAUUUUUUGUAUUCUGUUUUGUUGUAUGUAUCAUUUGAUAGUUUUGUAUAGGAACAAGUGAUACUAUUUUGUAGGGCUUUAUGGCCUAUGAUGUAAACAUAUUUAGUGCUGAAAUAUGAAAUUAUUUGCAAAAUUUGUCAAAAAGGUGGAUCAUAUGUAUGAAUAUGUGAAUGGGCUGAAAAGAGUAAUGGACCAACUCCAGGAUUGAAUUCAUAUUUGAAUGUAUAAAAAGGCCGAACGUAAACUAGAAAUGGGCUGAACAAAAUUGUACAUAUAUUCUUGAAAGGCCAAACAUGCAUAAAAUUGAUGGGCUGACCAGUUGGGCUUGGCCCAUGUAGCAGAUAAAAAUUAACAGAAAUAAAUAUACCAAAUGGGUUGAAUUAAUGGGCUAGGCCCAUGUAGAAAACUGAAUUGGACCGGGCUGAAUCUUGUGCCACAUCAGCUUGCCACGCUGGAUGCCUACGUGGCCUGGGGAGGUUGCUAGUGACCAAAAUGCCACAGUAGGAAUAUUUUGGUCGUAAACGUCUUUGACCAUUCCAGAAGAAAGGUCUCUAUAGUCAUUUACGACGGCCAGCUUUUGACCUUCUGUUUUUGGUCACAAAAAGGUCAUAAAUGGAAAUUUGUGACCUUUCAGUGACCAAUAGUGGUGGUCAUAAGUUGACAUAUUUCUUGUAGUGAGGGAACACAGCAGCAUAUAAACGCCGCAGCAAAACGAGUCCAGAACUGAAACCACUUCAGAAGAGCUCAAGAAACAAUAUCCUGGGUACCCAUAAUGCUGGCAAGAUGCUUAGCAAGCUUAUUAACUUUCUCUUGUUUGGCGCUUAAGUCCUCCAGCACCUGCUGUUGCACCAGAAAGUAUGCAUCUGAAUUCUGCAGGGACUUCCUCAGUCCUUCGGCUUCCUGUCGCAUAACAUCUGAUCGAUGUCUUUCAACUUGAAGUUGAGACUCAAGAAACCGAACUGAUUCAGGCAACAAGUUCGAAGAGCUGGUGCCAGCAGUGGUAGCCAGUAACUCGAACAGUACAUCAAGACAGGACUUUGGGGUUGUCUCAGUGUCCUCAAUAUAGUUUUUAUCAGCUUUCUUGGAGACCAACAGGGAUGUCUCACUAUCUUGAACCUUAUCUGCAUUACUUCCUUUACCAUUGCAUAACAGGGUACUCUUCUCCAAUAUUUUAUCCGCGUUCUAAAAGGGAAACAAACAAACACAUCUCAGGUUUACAAUGUAGUAUAUGAAACUCAUUUUGGUAAACCAGUUCAGUAGUAAGGUGGACAGGAUAACAGCAUGAAACAAACAUAUAUCUAUGUAGUAUGGUCACUGUAUGGUCUAUAUCAUUCUAGUUUAUGUUGCCAAAUCAAGAUAGAUACAGUUCGAAUCAUAUCUAUUUAAGACAAAGCAGCAUAGACAGAAUAUAAGUGUGGGAAACUACACAGCAAUAACAACACUUGUACUCCCUCCAUUCCUAAAUAUAAGUCUUUGUAGAGAUUCCACUAGGUGGACUACAUACGGAACAAAAUGUAUGAAUCUACACUUAAAAUGCAUCUAUAUACAUCCAUAUGUGGUUCAUAGUGAAAUCUCUACAAAGACUUAUAUCUAGGAACAGAGGGAGUAAUGUGCAUGGCAUGAGAACAUAAUUGUUUAUUCAAUUGAAACUGAAAUCAACAUAGAGCAAGUUACAACAGCAAACAGCCAAACACGUUGAAGAAACAGGUUUAAAACAUACCUGUUGCACCAUUGGAGUUUCAAUUGCAUCCUUCAAAUUUGAAAUUGGUUGGUAUCAGUAAAUGCAGUGAUGCAAGAGCAAAGUAGUAUGAACCAUAGCUACGGAACCUGACCUGAGAACAAUUCUUCUUCUACUUUAAGCGUUGACUUCGGGUUUGGAGUGGUGGUCCUCGUGAUUUGGGCACUGCAGUUGCCUUACUAACUGCUCGUGUUUGGGUGCUCUGUGGUGGAGACGGUGUUGUGUCAACGGGAACUGGGUGUCUAUCUGCCGGGGUUGGGGUUAGAAGGGGUGUAGCUGGUUCUCUGUCCAACUGGGUAGGGGUACAAUCUGCAUGAGUGUGGGUUAUGUGUGGUGGGGCUGAUUCUUGGGCAAGUACAACCGUGGUUCUAUCUGCAUCGACAAGUAGCACGAUCUUUUCUGAAGACCAUGUUUUUACUCCCACAGAUACUGCCAUCACUCCCUCCAAUUGAAAUGGAUGAUAAACAAGAAAAGUAAUUGAAUGUACAGACAAUGUAAGAUAGACAGGUGCAAUGGAUAGUAGGGAAGAAAACAGGGCAUGAAAUAAUUCACAUUUAUGUUGUCUAAGCAAACAGAAUAGCAGGACAUAAUUUCACAUAUAUGAUGGCUAAUUAAACAGGAUAGCAUGACACAAUUUCACAUGUAUGAUGGCUAACUAAACAGGAUAGAAUGACAUACUUCAAAAUAUGAUGACUAUGUAAACAGGAUGACAUGAUAUAACUAUAUGAUGUGUCUAUUAAAGAGGUUGGCAUGCCAUAAAUCACAAACAUGCCGUCGAUGGAAACAUGAUGGCAUGAUAUAAUUCACGGAUAGAAUGACAUAAUUUAAAAUAUGAUGACUAUGUAAACAGGAUGAGAUGAUAUAACUAUAUUAUGUCUUUAGAAAAUGGGUUGGCAUGCCAUAAUCCAGAUACAUGCUGUCUAUGUAAACAUCAUGGCAUGACAUAAUUCAAACAUAUGAUUUAUAUACUAAGGAAGUGAGCAGAGGGCAAUUGCAUAUAUGAUGUCUCAACAAAGGAGAUGGCAUUCAAUAUUGUGUAUAUGAUGUAAAAAAUAAGCAUUGCAAUACAACAUAUGCAUUAUAUGAGUAAUAUAACCCUGCCAAGUUUGAGCAUACACCUCAGGGGGAUAAUAGGACUGGUCAUCUACCUCUGAAUCCUCCUCUGAAGAGCUAUCUGUAACCAGCAAGAUAUCUGCUUCAGCAGGUAGCAUUGUCUGCUCUAAAGACCUUGUUUUCACUCCAGAUUUCUCCAUCACCAAUUCAAAUGGCUGAUGCAUAGGAAGAGCAGUUGAAUAUACAAACAUUGUCGACAAAAGCAAUGAGAAAUACAAAAAAAGGACGGCAUGAUAUAAUUCACAUAUAUGACGCUUGCCUAAAUAGCAUGGCAUUGCAUAAUUCACAUACAUAAUGCCUUGCAACAAGAUAACAUUGCAUAAUUCACAUAUAUAAUGUCUUGCAACAAGAUGGCAUUGCAUAAUUCACAUAUAUGGUAAUUAGACACUAAACAGGUGGCAUUCACACAAAUCAUGUCUAUACUAAGCAAAUGACAUAGCAAUGCAAGAUACCAUACGCACGAUAUGAGUAACGUAACCCUGCCAAGUUAGGGCAUGCACCUCAGGGGGGAAAUAUGACUGGUCAUCUGUCUCUGAAUCCUCCUCCGAGGAGCUAUCGGUAACCAACAAGACAUGCGCUUCGUCAGAUAGCAUUGUCUGCUCUGAAGACCUUGUUUCCACUCCAGAUUUUUCCAUGACCGUGCCGAAUGGAUGAUGCACAGGAAGAGUAAUUGAAUGUACUAAAAUUGUUGACAAAUUUAACACAUAAUAAAAAAAUGAUGGCAUGAUAUAAUUCACAUAUAAGAUGACUGGCUAACCAGGGUGGCAUUGCAAAAUUCACAUAUAUGAUGCCUGGCUAGACAAGAUGGCAUUGCAUGAUUCACAUACACGAUAAAGAAGCAAGGGAUUAUUAGAUUUAUGCCCCUAGUUGUGUCCCACUCGUCUGUUUUACCCCUAAUUCCCAAAAGUCACCGGUUCUAUCCAAGUCAUGUUGCUCCUCUUAUGCUUUUGCCCUUUGACCGUUUGACCGUCAGUUUGAAAACUUCAUAAGUAAUUCAUACUAAAUAAGAAAAAUGCAAAUAAGAUACCAAAAUGUUCAGAAAAACAUCACCUAUAUGUCAGUGUCACUUGCAUUCAUGAAAAAAGUGUUGGAAAGUGCACAUCCGAGUUUUAGCUCUUUUGAUACCACCAUGAAUAGUGAACUCUAAAAAAAUUCAAAAAAAUUCAAAAAAAAUAUGGUGGCAAAGAACAACAAAUGUUCUAAGUGCUUACCAAGUUUCAUUAGGGAACGACAUUCGUGGAAGUCAUGGCAAAAAAUUAAUCUAUUUUGGAGUGCUGAUUGUUUUUUUGUCGCGACACCCACGAAUGUUAUUCCCUGAUGAAACUUGGCAGGCACUUAAAACAUUUGUCCUUCUUUGCCACCAAUUUUUUUUGAAUCUUUUUGAACUUUUUUAGAUUUUACUAUUCAUGGUGGUAGCAUAAGAGCUAAAACUCGGAUGGGCACUUUCCAACACUUUUUCAUGAAUGCAAAUGACACUGACAUAUAGAUUAUGUUUUUCUGAACAUUUUGGUAUCUUAUUAGUAUUUUUCUGAUUUAGUAUGAAUUAGUUAUGAUGUUUUCAAAUUGACGGUCAAAGGGCAAAAGCAUAAGAGGAGCAAAGUGACUUGGACAGAACCAGUGACUUUUGGGAAUUAGGGGUAAAACAAACGAGUGGGACACAACUAGGGGCAUAAAUCUAAUUAUCCCAAGAAACAAAACAGAUGGCAUUGACACAAAGCAUGUCUAAACUAAGCAGAUGAAAUAUUUAACGUAUACAGUAAGCAAUGCAAGGCACCAUAUGGAUGAUAUUACCAACAUCAGCAUGCCAAGUUAGAGCGAAGACCUCAUGGGGUAAAUAGGAGUGGUCUUCUCCUUCUGAAUCCCCCUCAGAACAGUUAUCUUCCUCUUGAUUACAAUCCGAAAUGGGUGGAGGGGGGGUCUGCCUUUGCGCCCACCAUGGAACGACGUCUGCAUGAAAUUUUAUUGCCACGCAAGGCUCAUCUCUUUUGCUCUACAUGCUCAGUUCCAUUGUGUACAAUAACUGGCAUGCAUAGGAAUAAAACCUAGUGAGAUUAUGUAAGGAGUGCAUGCACAAAUCCGGAGUGAUGGUAGCAAACUGUGGAUAGACCCAAAACCAAUGAUAGCAGGCAGAUAUUAGCUUUAGUUAAAAAAUACAGAUAAUGGCUCCUUUAAUGUUUUUUUGCACCCAACAUGAAACUCAUAGUAGACACCGGAGAUUAACCAGAUAGUAGACGGAUAGUACUGAUUGCUGCCCCAAUAUGUACCCCACAACCAUUUAAAAACUCAAGUUUCAGCAUUAUUUUGGACGUGACUCGGAGUCUAAUAGGUGAACACGACGAUAAUGUAGCAUGUCAUCAUAUUAAGCGACGCAUAACGUAAGCUAACAGUGCUAGUCCGCUGCCUUAUUUCUAGUUGUUAACGACCAAUAUAGAUGGUCAUAGCCUUGUAAAUUCUGGUGGGUUGCUAUGACUAGGCGCCACCUCAUCAGUUUUGCCUAUGUGUCAUGUCCAUGUGGCAGUUUUUGCCCUAGGUUGUGAAGCAACCUAUAUUUCUGUCAUUCCCAAAAUUCCCAAAAAAAUCUCAUAAAUUCUUUGGGUCAUAUCUUCGUCAAAUAUGUAAAAACCUUCCUUGCCUAGUUCAAAAAUAAUUCAAAAAUAUUCAUUUUCCUAUUCUGUUCAAAGUAACAGUUUGUGAAGGAAGUACCUUCCUUGCCUAGUUCAAAAAUAAUUCAAAAAUAAAGAGCAAACUAUGAGGCAGCUACAGUUCAAAUUUGACCCGUUUCCAGCUGAAUCGACGACAAUUUGUCUUUUUCAUCAGAGGUGGAUCAAAACUUUUUUCACCCAACCAUUUUGUCAAUUGUGCAUUAAAUAUGGCCUAGUAUUUUAUAAAAAAAAUUUGGUCCAAUUUGGCAACAAUUAUUUGGGAGGUCCUUCACAAAAAAACCUCCUGUUGGGCACUCGAAAAAUGGAAAAUGGUUUUUUCGUCCAAAGAAAAUGAAAACUCCCUUAGGCAACAUUGUUUGCCAUUCAAAUAUGCACCCUUGUGCACAAUAUGAGAUCAUUUGAACAAACUAUGCCAUGAAUGUGGCCAUAAGAUUGAUCAUUUGGCUUGAAAGCCAUGAAUCUUCAGAUAUGAUAGCUCAUUUCUGAGAACACUUUUUUAAAAUAAUUGUCGUAUUACAAGUUUGUUAUUUUUCCUGGGAACUUGGCCACAUAUAAUGACACAAAGCGAAGGUUUUCCAAUUUUUUGAUUUGUUUUGAAUUUUUUAUGCCCGUUUCAAAAUGCGGUCAAAACGGCGGGCUUGACCGUUCCUAGCUAGUGGUUGAAUCUUGGAAUUUUUUUGGUGUUUCUAUGAUUUAAUAGAUACUUAUGUACCUAGAAAUAAUUUUUGGAAAAAAUAAAGAGCAAACUAUGAGGCAGCUAUAGUUCAAAUUUGACCUGUUUCCAGCUGAAUCGACGACAAUUUGUCUUUUUCAUCAGAGGUGGAUCAAAACUUUUUUCACCCAACCGUUUUGUCAAUUGUGCAUUAAAUAUGGCCUAGUAUUUUAGAAAAAUGUUUUGGUGCAAUUUGGCAACAAUUAUUUGGGAGGUCCUUCACAAAAAAACCUCCUGUUGGGCACUUAAAAAAUGGAAAAUGGUUUUUUCAUCCAAAGAAAAUGAAAACUCCCUUAGGCAACAUUGUUUGCCAUUCCAAUAUGCACCCUUGUGCACAAUAUGAGAUCAUUUGAACAAACUAUGCCAUGAAUGUGGCCAUAAGAUUGAUCAUUUGGCUUGAAAGCCAUGAAUCUUCAGAUAUGAUAGCUCAUUUCUGAGAACACUUUUUUAAAAUAAUUGUCGUAUUACAAGUUUGUUAUUUUUCCUGGGAACUUGGCCACAUAUAAUGACACAAAGGGAAGGUUUCCCAAUUUUUUGAUUUUUUUUGAAUUUUUUAUGCCCGUUUCAAAAUGCGGUCAAAAUGGCAGGAAUAACCGUUCCUAGCUAGUGGUUAAAUCUUGGAAUUUUUUUGGUGUUUCUCUGAUUAAAUAGAUACUUUUGUACCUAUAAAUGAUUUUUGUAAAAAAUAAAUAGCAAACUAUGAGGCAUCCGCAGUUCAAAUUUGACCCGCUUCCAGCUGAAUCGACGAAAAUUUGUCUUUUUCACCAGAGGUGGAUCAAAACUUUUUACACCCAAUAAUUUGGUCAAUUCUGAAUUAAAUAUGGCCUAGUAUUUUAGAAAAAUGAUUUGGUCCAAUUUUGCAACAAAUAUAUUAUAGGUCCUUCACAAUAAAACUCAGUUUGGACACUCGAAAAAUGGAAUAUUUAUUUUUCGUGCAAAGGAAAUAAAAACUCCCUUUGUCAAUAUUGUUUGCAAAUCCAUGAUGUAAACAUGUGAAAAAUAUGAUAUCAUUUGAACAAAUAUUUGAUAGGACUUUCAGAAAAAUACUCAUUUUGAGCACUGAAAAAUGGAAUGAAAUUUUUUAUCUUGAAUCGAUCACGACCAAUUUAUAUUGGUCAUAAGGUCAUCAAAUGGUUUGCUUCGUUCUGAUUGGACCAUGAUCAUAUCACACGGAUCACGCAUCAACCACCGUCGGAUGCUUCCGGAUCCAACGGCCCAAAACCACCUGAGCCGAAACCCUAGCCUCAUGGACAUUUUCCACCCACCCCCCGCCCCCAUUCUUUCUUUCUUUCUCUUCCUCCCCCCUCAGAUCCUCUCCCCUCUCCCCCGUGCAGCGAACCCUAGCCCCUCUCUCCCCCGCACACCACUCCUCCUCCCUUCCAGAUCACAGCCGCCNNNNNNNNNNNNNNNNNNNNNNNNNNNNNNNNNNNNNNNNNNNNNNNNNNNNNNNNNNNNNNNNNNNNNNNNNNNNNNNNNNNNNNNNNNNNNNNNNNNNNNNNNNNNNNNNNNNNNNNNNNNNNNNNNNNNNNNNNNNNNNNNNNNNNNNNNNNNNNNNNNNNNNNNNNNNNNNNNNNNNNNNNNNNNNNNNNNNNNNNNNNNNNNNNNNNNNNNNNNNNNNNNNNNNNNNNNNNNNNNNNNNNNNNNNNNNNNNNNNNNNNNNNNNNNNNNNNNNNNNNNNNNNNNNNNNNNNNNNNNNNNNNNNNNNNNNNNNNNNNNNNNNNNNNNNNNNNNNNNNNNNNNNNNNNNNNNNNNNNNNNNNNNNNNNNNNNNNNNNNNNNNNNNNNNNNNNNNNNNNNNNNNNNNNNNNNNNNNNNNNNNNNNCUCCACCUCCCUCCGGACGAGCUCCCCGCCGUCCAUGGCCUCCCCCACACCCUUCUCCCUCGCGAGCCCUCUCUCUCUCCCUCGCGCGACUCCUCUACUCCACUCGAUUCUGGCGAGUUGAGGCGGCUCUCGCCGGCGCGCAGCACACCCCGGCCUUCAGGUAAGCAAGUUUUUUGCUCGGCGCCGGCGCGGGCGCGGAUCGAGACUGACGGAUGGGUUUGGUUCCUUCCUUGCUACAAGCGGUGCUGUGCACGGCGGUGGCGUUGGCGCUGUGUGCGGGCGGAUUGGCGCGUCGCCUGCGGCGAGGGGCGCGGGGUGCCGGAAGCAUGUGCGGAGGGUCACGGAGUACGGGGCGGUGGGGGACGGCAAGACGCUCAACACGGUGGUGUUCGCCAGGUUCGUCUUGUUCUUGGAUUUUCGCUUGCUUCUUUGUUUCUUCUUCCUGACCGAGCAGGUGAGCUGAUUUUGGAUUUGUCAUCCUAGUUUCUGCAGCUGUUGGAGGAGGACUUGGUGGUGCUAAGGAAUGUAGUACUACAAGGACGGACACCGCUUCCGUUGAACUCAGGUGAGCUUGCGAAUUCGCGAUGGCCUUGGUGAUUUUACUGUUACUGCUACUCUAUUAGUCAUGGAAUUCGGGAGAGCUUGGGUUCGAAUUUUAUUUUCUGGGAUUUUUAUCGGGGUGUAUGCAACUGUAUAACUGUAAAUUGGCUUGCCCCUGGGUGUUCUUGGUUGGUGAUUCGAUAAUGAUUUGAAGCGGUCUGGCUUAUCAGCCGGUGGUUAGGUGGAGUCGGGUUAUUAUAGUUUCGGUACAGGAGGGGGAAAGGUGGCACAAAUCUGGGGGCAAGGCAUGUUUCUGCCUGAUUGAUCCAAUCAUUUUUUUUCUUCUGGUAUCAAUCAAUCAUGCCAGCAUCUGAAACGGAUUAUCAAAUCUGAAUUGGCACUGUUUUUUAUAUAUAAUGAUACCAUACAGCUCGAGAUGAACAUAUGCUUGACUGAAUAGUUGUUCAUACAUCUGGAGGUGUUACUAUGAGUACAAUUACCAUUCAGAAAGAAAAAAACUAUGAGUAAAAUGCAGAGAACGCACUUCCAGACUAUCAAUCAUGCAUGCCCAUAUCAUUUGCUUUGCUUAAUGUUUCUUAGUUUAACUUACUAAUCUCUUGUCUGUGUAAUUUUUGCUGCCAGAAGGGAUCCCAAUAGGUUGCAACUGGGAGUAAAAUAUGUGUCUAAACUGAUUGUCUGGUGCGAAAAUCGACGACCAAGAUCCAGUUAUGUGUAUUGUAGGACAACACCUUUCAUUAGAUACACUUUGAUGCUAUUUCUAGCAUGAAUUUCUAUUUCAGACUUAGAACUAAAAUUCUGAACAACUAAAAUCGCUCUUGUUCCUUAUUUUUGUAGGGCGGUUCCUCUCGUUUUACUGGUUCGUCCGCUCCUUCAUGAUUGAUGUACUGGUUCUGGCCGCUCCUUCGUGAUAGACUCGGUUAACUCUUUGUUGGCCUUGUGGGUCGUAAUUGUUUCUCUCCAUAUGCAUAUACUUCCUUAUGUAUUGCUCAUGCUCAUUCUGUACCGAGAUAGACCUAAUAUCCGUAGGGUUGUAGAUUGAUUUCCCCUGAAAAAGCUAUGCUUCUUUCCUUGGAUGAUAAGCAUGUUCCGCAGCUAUGUGGAAUUCUUAAGAUAAACGGUCUUUAGUUUCUUUUGGUGCAUCUGCGUGCACAUAACAGUCUGUUAGUUUCUCAGUCUGUUAGUUUCUCUUUAUAUAAUGAAAAAAUAUAUGUUGUUGUCGCUUGUUUAUUAUUAUCUAUCAUUUGUAUAUUGAUUUUUAGGCCACCAGUACUUGUAUGUAUAAUUUCUAGUCUCUUGAAUGAAUAAUUUUUCUUUAUGUGCCAUGCGUCUUGUGUUACUACAUACAUCUGUCGUGAAGUACAUGGUUCUGGAACUAUGGUAACCCGUAGUUUGCUCUACCCGUGAUAGUAGGAUGAUGGAAGCAUCACUACUGAAUGUAGUUCAUGUUUCUUCGUAUAAUCAUCAUUUACUAGAGUUUCUCUUCUUCUUGCUACUACUUGGUUUUUGACGCCACUAGCUUGUACUGAAAUGUAAACACAUCAUAUUGUUCUCAUCAGACCAGUGUACCUUGAGCAUGCAAAGUAAACACAUGCUACUCCACUUGUCUAUUUUUACAUAAACUUUUGUUUAAAUAAACCGAGCUAAUAAACCAAACGGUGCAAACACAUUCAGUUCUGA